AUAAUGCCGUCUGGCAGGGGCAAUACCAUGAUCAAGGAGGUGGUUUGCCCAAAUCGAGGCUCAGCCAUUGCACUCAGGCUGUGCUGACCUUUGCGAAUUCCCCAAAUGCGAGAACCUUGACUGCAUAAUUUCUGAUAGUGGGGGGCUGUGUUUGCGCUUCCCCUUU